rnacentral:lncRNA from 1 species
AUGCGCUUAUGUCGUGCACCAUGGCAAGGAGUACAUGGGCUCUUGCCGAACCGGAGCUAGUGUCAAAGAUGGCAGAGAAUGUGAACCACGGGCGAAGAAUUGGCUAUUCGACUUAAAUGAAACAUUGGAUCAUUGCUUGUUUACAUCAAUGGUAGUCACUCUAUGGGCUAUAUGGUAUACAAGGAUAAAAGCAAUACAUGAAGGAAUUUUUCAGUCUCCAUAGCAAACCUCAUCUUUUCUGACAUCAUACAUAAGCGAGUCUCGCCGAACCCUCCGACAAAGGCUUCUGAACUGGAUUCCCAAAGAAGUGUCUUUGCN